GUUAAUAUAGCAUAAUAAGUGCAUUUGUUUUAAGCGCAAAAGAUAAAAGUUAAUUA
rnacentral:tRNA from 1 species